CCCGCGGGGCUGCCGGGGUCUGGGCGGGCCGGGCUGGGCUCAGCCGCCCCUGGCGACCCACCCGCGGGGCGGGCUCGGGGCGUGUCGCUGGCCCGGGUCGCUGGAAGCAGCGCGUUAAAGAGCCGAGCGGGGCCGGGCGGGCCUCGGCAACCGGGCCCUGCCCCGGCACCCGGUGUGUGUCCCCGCCGGCGCGGCGGCAGGCGGUUGCCUUCUCCCGAGGAGCAGCCGCCAGAGGGAGAUGGGAUGCGCCGUUCCCGGGUACUCGGAUGCUGCUGAUGGCGGGAUUACGUUAUAUGAAUGAGUUUGAUAGGAGUCACCAUGGUGAGGAAAGGAUAAUGGAAUUUCAGGUAAGAGUUCUUCAUAAUGAAUUCAUUCUUUACACCAUGUUAACACCCACACAUGGAAUUAGGGACCUUUGUAACACAAUGCAACAAUUUACUAGAAAUCACAAAACACCAAUUAUAGAAUUGGACUGAAAUUGGCUGCCAAAUCCUCCAUCCCCGAUAAAAGAAGGAUAGGUAAAGUCAUGCCAGCACAUUUUAACUCAUUCCUAAAAAUUCACUUGGGUCCAUUGUGUACUUCCUCAGUAAUACAGAAGCAGAUUGACUGCAGUGCUAUGUGUAUGACAUGAAAUGCAAAAUAAAAUAAAAAUUAAUAGGUCA
rnacentral:lncRNA from 1 species